AUGCUACACAGCCCCUACAGUAAGAUGCAACAAACGAGAGCCAAACUAACAAUCUUAACCAAACAGGUUCCAACACAAGAAGUAAAGGCAGGACAAACAGGUCCGUCUUAUGUCUUCCGUUUUUGCUAUGCUGAUGUAUUGACCAGCCUGGACUAUAUUGGUUUGGAAACUACCUCAUUAACACAUAUUGACCCAGCUUGUACUAGUCACUGGAGCACAUGCCCCCACCACACUACCCUCUCAAUUGUGUGCUCUACUCACCUCCCGAUUGAAUCCCCUUCUCCAAAAUCCCUUGCCAAGUUCAGUGAGUCAGGCGAGGCUGCAGCACAAGCUUCCUUGGUACGGACGUGGCAUGUGUAA
rnacentral:rRNA from 1 species